GGUCCCAUAGCUCAGUUGGUUAGAGCGUCGUACUAAUAUUAUGACUCAAGUCGUAGCGUUGGUAAAUGCGAAGGCCGUGAGUUCAAGCCUCACUGGGACCA